AUCUUCUUGUUAGAAUUCUUGUGAGUAAUGUGCCGCGGGAUUCCAUAUCCUUAAACUGCUGGCGAACAGAGCAACAAGACCAAGCUCUGUAAUUAUUAGGAUCUCUGUCCAGUAGUGCCGUGUUUGUGCCAUCG